GACUCAAUUCCUCUUUCUGUUCAAGAAGAUUCUGCUCAAUUUACCAAGUUAUUCCAAUCAUUUGCUAAUUGGAUUUUCAGAAGGGAAUAGAGGGAGGGAAGGACCAUUCCCUAAUUUGGUGAAAGACCCAAUUCACCUUAAUCAUGAAGAUCACAGAAGAACAUUAUGAAGAUAGAUACUGGUAAUUUGCAAGAGAAACAGGAUGAAGCAGAAUACCCUAUUUUAACUAAGAAGCGGCUUAACAUUUUAAAGAAUGUUAAAUAUGUCUCUGGAAAAUGUUUAAUAAGGCUGGAUAUAAAUUUUACAGAAUGAGAGAAUAAAGUAGUAGAAAACACACUGAAGUAUAA